AACGAACGCUGGCGGCAGGCCUAACACAUGCAAGUCGAGCGAGGUAGCAAUACCUAGCGGCGGACGGGUGAGUAACGCGUGGGAACGUACCCUUUGCUACGGAAUAGCCCCGGGAAACUGGGAGUAAUACCGUAUGUGCCCUUCGGGGAAGGAUUUAUCGGCAAAGGAUCGGCCCGCGUUGGAUUAGGUAGUUGGUGAGGUAAUGGCCUACCAAGCCUACGAUCCAUAGCUGGUUUGAGAGGAUGAUCAGCAACACUGGGACUGAGACACGGCCCAGACUCCUACGGGAGGCAGCAGUGGGGAAUCUUAGACAAUGGGCGCAAGCCUGAUCCAGCCAUGCCGCGUGAGUGAUGAAGGCCUUAGGGUUGUAAAGCUCUUUCAGAUGGGAAGAUAAUGACGGUACCAUCAGAAGAAGCCCCGGCUAACUCCGUGCCAGCAGCCGCGGUAAUGUCGUACG
rnacentral:rRNA from 1 species